GGUUUCCAACCAGCUGGACGUCAGAGCCCGCCACGUGGCCUGGGGGUCUCUCCAGUGGCACUUACCGGGCGCACGCGCCCCUCCUGUCCCCGGGCCUGCUCCGUCUGGGCGGAGCUCGGCACCCCCUCGGGAGAGGCCUCCCAGCCCCCAGGGGAGCUGCUGUGAGGGCCCCUCUGGGGCGGGGACGUCCUCAGUGUGCCGUGGACCCUUCCUCCCCGGGAAUGACUCUCCUGGCGCCUAAGGACCCCCUUUUCCUCCCAGGAGCCGAGGCGCCCGGCACUUUCUGUACCUGUGACCCCGACGCCCAAGGGAUCCGGGCCACAGGGAGCUUCAAGCUCCUUUUGCCAUGAAAAAAGAAAACAACAAACAAACAAAACUUCGAGAAUGAAACUGACCCAGGACGGAGGCGCAGAGCCCGGGACGGUGUCCGUGUUCUAGGCGCACGCGGGGCCCCCGCCCGCCCGGUGGCUCUGACGACCCCGGAACGGCCAGUUUAGGAAGCGGGUUAAGAUCACGCGCCUGAAACACUUUUAAGCUUCAGAGCGGAGCAGUGUUAAUUCCGGUGUUGGCAAGAAACUGGGGGAAUUUCGCCCACACAGACACUCCCCCGCCACAAGUGCCUUCCAGUUGCCACUUCGCCCGGCGGUUGGGCUCUUUAAAAGGUCUGGCGUUGCGUCUUGGGGGAGCGGUUAACUACUGUGAGCCUUAAUGAGGGAGCAAUUUUCUCCCCCAACUUUUCAGGACCGACAGUGCGUUAUGCAGCAUGGGACCCUCUUCCAACAUUUUCAGGCUGUGAGGCUCGUCAUGGUUGUCUGUCCUGGGAAGAAGUCGGCACCGUUGGGGUUCUGACUUGUGUCCGCCGAGAUAAAGAGGAAAGGUUGCCCUAGAGAAAGUUUGUCUGAAGGAAGAGUUUCUAAGUUUCGGUGUGGCUCUCUUCGGCAUCAGUGGGCAUUUUUACUGUGUUUUACUGCUAUACAUUCCUAGAGAAAGGGUUACUCUCCAAAUUCCAUAAAAUUUGUAAAGAUCUAAAUUUAGAGUUGAGUGAAUGGAAUGAAGGAAUCGUUAUAGCUAUCAUUGGUACCGCUUAGUAAUCUUCUCUUGAAAUGUGAGGCUUGUGGGGUGUUUUACAUAUUUGCCUCAGUGGUGAAAGACCCUUUUACUGAUCAGAAAAUAACCAAUUUUACUAAUUAGGAAACCAAAUGGGACAUCAAUUUUAUCAUGCUUUUAAAGAGGAAACAAGGAGCAGCAUUGCAAACUGUCCUAGGCACCCCCUUUUCAGCCAUAUAUAUGGGGUGGGAGCACACAGUUUUCCCUGCCCCGACUACCUGGAUCUCUGAAUGGCACUACCACAGAGAGAAAUGCAGUGGUCAGGCUUUAUUUCACAAUUGGUUUAGAUGUUGGGGAUUCCUGUUGAGCCAGAUGGUUCCCUCUGAGAGAGGGACAUGGGCUGAGAGAGACUCCCUGGGCUCUGCCUGCGCCUCUGGGUAAGCAAGUCUCAGGCUUCCUUUGGUUUUUUUAAAUGGUAAAGUUUAUCUCCCUCUUUCCUAGGUAAAUACUGUUGCCAGUAAUGUUUAUGUUUAUUUUUUCCAAAUUGAUAAUGUUCCAUGCAACUGUAACGGGGAGAUUGGAAAGUUGGUGACUGCUGACUUUCUGUAAAAUGGAUUCCCAGAGUAUUGGCACUUAGUUCACUACUUAUUUUACUCCUGGCUGGAAAUUACAGGAGAUUCCCAGUGUCAGGAAGUUUGGAGAAUGUAGCUGUUUUACAGGAACUCUACCUAUUCAUCAAAGGUAGCUGGUAGGUAGCCCAAUAAAAGACUCUUUACCAUACACACACACAAAACCAUAAAAAGUUAGCAUAUGAUAUUCUUAACAUUGUUUUUCUCAAUUUCCUACCAGGCUCAGUCCAGUUCAAGAUGCUGGCAAACAGGGCUGGUGCUUGAAAGCUUUUCGAGAAGAUAAGGUGUAUUUGAACAUGUGACGAUUGAAAUAUACAGAGUACAGGUUUUUGCUUACUGUCCCUUUCAUGGUGGUGGCAGGGGAGGACUUUUGAAAAGGUGCCGAAUAUCUGCAAGCACAUAUAGCUGCCCCACAGAGAAUUUCUGUAGAAUUCAAUUCCAUUUAAACUAUUUAAAAUCAUUUUUCUGCCAACCAGCCCCAGCCUGGUAGUAUUAGUAACUAGACUAGCUAUUCUAUCAAUACAGCUAUUUUAAGAAAACUGUCAGCUGCUUGAAUUACAAAGGUUAGUUCUAAAUCCCAUACUUUUGACUAUUCUAAAUAUUGUAUGUUUCAAAGUAUCCUUAUAAAAAUUUGGUUUUUUUGUGCUUACAGUUUUUCCUAUAAUAGAUUAUUUUGAUGAUUAAGUUUGACCCCUUUGACAGAUCAGUGGAUUCCUAAGGAUCAGGGAGGAGUUUGUUGCAUAGGGUUGGGGGCGGGUGUUGAAGAACUGCUCUACACUUUGAUUAUGGUGCUGAUUGCCUUUGUCAAAUUUUGGAGUGAGUUUUACUGAAUGUAAAUUCAACUUCAAUAAACAUGGCUUUAAAAACUUA